UCUCAAGUGCAGGAAGGGCGGGGGCGAUUAGCCUUCCUGCGUGAUCCUUUGCGUUUUUUUACCCCUCUCCUUCCAGAUUCUGAAAUGAUUACUCCCUUACGCUUCAGGAGCUCAGAGAAAGGAGUAGCUGGAUCUCUCUUUUCAUCCUCUGCGCUCCCCCCCCCACGCCCGCUCCCCCAUCCAGCCUGCUCAUUCCAGUAAUAAGUGCCCAGAGCUCCUCACAUCACAAUUAGUCCAGCACAAAACUUCAAUCAGCCGUUUCUCUUCCUAGGAGACAGUGAAAAUGCAACGUGGAAGGGCUGAGGCACUUUUUUGUUGUUAAACAAUCACUCAAAGGUCUGAUGAACAUUAAAGAGUUUGCAGAAGAUGAAUGGCUUGCCUACCAGGUUCACAUACAGUAGAGGAAAUAUCCAUCUUUAAAAGAUUCCUUUAUGUAUUUUUAUGCUCUUUAAUGUAUUGAACUCAAAGGAAAACAGAUGCUUGGAACUUAGUUUUCAAGGAUUAUAUCAAAUACCGUUAUUAAAAAUAAUAAAUAUUCACAAACAAGGUGACAA